UACGUAGGGCGCAAGCGUUGUCCGGAAUCAUUGGGCGUAAAGCGCGCGUAGGCGGUUACUUAAGUUGGAUGUGAAAGCCCUCGGCUUAACCGAGGAAGUGCAUCCAAAACUGAGUAGCUAGAGUACGAAAGAGGGUCGCGGAAUUCCCGGUGUAGAGGUGAAAUUCGUAGAUAUCGGGAGGAACACCGGUGGCGAAGGCGGCGACCUGGGUCGAGACUGACGCUGAGGCGCGAAAGCGUGGGGAGCAAACAGG
rnacentral:rRNA from 1 species